AGGGUCCGUAUGGAGCCCUCUGGAGCUGAGAUCAGGAUGUUCCGCUUCAUGAGGGACGUGAAGCCUGAAGAUCCCAUGUUCCUGAUGGGCCCCUUUGCAAUUCACUGCCAGCAUAUGAGCUGCACGUUGUCAGGUGGCUUUGGAUAUAGCCCCUUCCUGAGCAUCACAGAUGGUGACGUGGCAGAAACCAGGCCUGCCAGCCACUGGAUGAAGGCUGGGGCUGUUUCUCCCUUCGGGAUGUUGCGAAUGUCCAGCAGCUUCAUGGCCAUGUUUGGGAUGAUGAACGACAUGAUUGGGAACAUGGCCUCUGGAGGCAACUGCUAGACCUUCUCUUCCUCCACUGUCAUCUCCUACUCCAACACUGGGGAUGGUGCCCCCAAGGUUUACCAGGAGACAUCUGAGAUGCGCUCUGUCCUAGGCGGGAUCUGGGAGACACGGAGGACUCUCUGGGACUCAGACAGUGGUCUAGAGCAGAUGUCCACUGGGCAUCACAUUUGGGAUAGGACUCACAUCCUCCAGCACUCCUGAAACCACAACACAGGGGACCAGGAAGAGUGGAAGGACUACAUCAACCUGGAUGAAAGUGAGGCAGCAACGUUCGAUGAUGAAUGGAGAAGGGAGGCAUCACAGACAGCAACAUCCUCUGGAAUUACGAUGGCAUGAGACAUCGGGGGAGGGGGCUGGGGGGACGAAGGGCUGAGAGACCUCCCCGCCUGGCUAUCCAGGGACUGAAGACUCCCCCUCUGGACAGUCCUGUCCUAUGAUUGGUGAACACCCUAGGCUCUCAGCCUCUCCUGUGUAGGCUGAGAUGCUGAGAAAUCAUCCUGGAAAUGACUGUCCUUUCCAACCUCCAUCCCAAUUUAAUAUUAAAUCAAC